GGGCAAUACCGGCGGCUAUACAUGCAGUCGAGCGGACAGAUGGGAGCUUGCUCCCUGAUGUUAGCGGCGGACGGGUGAGAAACACAUGGGUAACCUGCCUGUAAGACUGGGAUAACUCCGGGAAACCGGGGCUAAUACCGGAUGGUUGUUUGAACCGCAUGGUUCAGACAUAAAAGGUGGCUUCGGCUACCACUUACAGAUGGACCCGCGGCGCAUUAGCUAGUUGGUGAGGUAACGGCUCACCAAGGCGACGAUGCAUGCUCGAGUCUAGAAGUGGGUAUCGUCAACUUGGACUAGUCACUGCCUAGACUCGUACGGGAGGUAGCAGUCGGCAAUCUCCGCAUGACCGUAACGUCGACGAGCCACGGCGCUGGAGUGAUGAUGGUUUUCCGACUCGUCAGCUCUCGUAGUUAAGGAAGAACCAGUUGCUGUCAAAUAGGGCCGCUACUGACGGUACCUACCAGAAAGCCACGGCUAACUACGUGCCAGCAGCGGGGUUAUAUGUAGUGGCAGGCGUUGUCCGGAAUUAUUGGCCGUAAAGGGCUCGGCAGGCCGGUCUUCUAUUAGUUUGAUGUGAAAAGCCCCCCGCUCAACCGGGGGAGGGUCAUUGGAACUGGGGAAACUUGAGUGCAGAAGAAGGAGAGUGGAAUUCCACGUGUAGCGGUGAAAUGCGUAGAGAUGUGGAAGGAACCACCAGUGGCGAAGGCGACUCUCUGGUCUGUUAACUGACGCUGAGGAGCGAUAGCGUGGGGAGCGAACAGGAUUAGAUACCCUGGUAGUCCACGCCGUAAACGAUGAGUGCUAAGUGUUAGGGGGUUUCCGCCCCCUUAGUGCUGCAGCUAACGCAUUAAGCACUCCGCCUGGGGAGUACGGUCGCAAGACUGAAACUCAAAGGAAUUGACGGGGGCCCGCACAAGCGGUGGAGCAUGUGGUUUAAUUCGAAGCAACGCGAAGAACCUUACCAGGUCUUGACAUCCUCUGACAAUCCUAGAGAUAGGACGUCCCCUUCGGGGGCAGAGUGACAGGUGGUGCAUGGUUGUCGUCAGCUCGUGUCGUGAGAUGUUGGGUUAAGUCCCGCAACGAGCGCAACCCUUGAUCUUAGUUGCCAGCAUUCAGUUGGG
rnacentral:rRNA from 1 species